AGCUCAGUAACACGUGGCCAAACUACCCUUCGGAUCUCCAUACCCUCGGGAAACUGAGGCUAAUUCAGCAUACCGCAAUCCCCCUGGAACGAGGAUUGUGUCAAACGCUCCGGCGCCGAAGGAUGUGGCUGCGGCCGAUUAGGUAGACGGUGGGGUAACGGCCCACCGUGCCAAUAAUCGGUACGGGUCAUGAGAGUGAGAACCCGGAGACGGAAUCUGAGACAAGAUUCCGGGCCCUACGGGGCGCAGCAGGCGCGAAACCUUUACACUGCACGCCAGUGCGAUAAGGGGACCCCAAGUGCGCAGGCAUAGAGCCUGCGCUUUUGUACACCGUAGGGAGGUGUACGAAUAAGGGCUGGGCAAGACCGGUGCCAGCCGCCGCGGUAAUACCGGCAGCCCGAGUGAUGGCCGAUUUUAUUGGGCCUAAAGCGUCCGUAGCUGGCCGCGCAAGUCCAUUGGAAAAUCCAGCUCGCCCUAACGGGUGGGCGUCCGGUGGAAACUGGUUGGCUUGGGACCGGAAGACGCUGACGGGUACGUCCGGGGUAGGAGUGA
rnacentral:rRNA from 1 species